rnacentral:snRNA from 3 species
AGCCACGCGGUGAGCACAAAGCGAACUAUUCUUUCGCCUUUUACUAAAGAAUACCGUGUGCUCGCCGCUCAUAGUGGCAUACGCCCAUUUUUGGAGGGGUUUCUCUUCUUUGGAGAAGC